GACGAACGCUGGCGGCGUGCUUAACACAUGCAAGUCGAGCGAGGCCCCCCCUUCGGGUGGGUGUCCUAGCGGCGAACGGGUGAGUAACACGUGGGCAACCUGCCCUCAGCUCUGGGAUAACUCCGGGAAACCGGGGCUAAUACCGGAUACGCCCUCCACGGGCAUCUGCGGAGGUGGAAUGAUUUUCGGCUGAGGAUGGGCCCGCGGCCUAUCAGCUAGUUGGUGGGGUAGUGGCCCACCAAGGCGACGACGGGUAGCCGGCCUGAGAGGGCGACCGGCCACACUGGGACUGAGACACGGCCCAGACUCCUACGGGAGGCAGCAGUGGGGAAUAUUGCGCAAUGGGCGAAAGCCUGACGCAGCGACGCCGCGUGAGGGACGAAGGCCUUCGGGUUGUAAACCUCUUUCAGCAGGGACGAAGCGAAAGUGACGGUACCUGCAGAAGAAGCACCGGCCAACUACGUG
rnacentral:rRNA from 1 species